rnacentral:rRNA from 1 species
UACGGAGGGUGCAAGCGUUAUCCGGAUUCACUGGGUUUAAAGGGUGCGUAGGUGGGCUGGUAAGUCCGUGGUGAAAUCUCCGAGCUUAACUCGGAAACUGCCGUGGAUACUAUCAGUCUUGAAUAUCGUGGAGGUAAGCGGAAUAUGUCAUGUAGCGGUGAAAUGCUUAGAUAUGACAUAGAACACCGAUAGCGAAGGCAGCUUGCUACACGAUCAUUGACACUGAGGCACGAAAGCGUGGGGAUCAAACAGG